AUUGAACGCUGGCGGCAGGCUUAACACAUGCAAGUCGAGCGGGGUGAUGGUGCUUGCACUAUCACUUAGCGGCGGACGGGUGAGUAAUGCUUAGGAAUCUGCCUAUAGUGGGGGACAACAUCUCGAAAGGGAUGCUAAUACCGCAUACGUCCUACCGGAGAAAGCAGGGGAUCACUUGUGACCUUGCGCUAAUAGAUGAGCCUAAGUCGGAUUAGCUAGUUGGUGGGGUAAAGGCCUACCAAGGCGACGAUCUGUAGCGGGUCUGAGAGGAUGUUCCGCCACCCUGGGACGGAGACACGGCCCAGACUCCUACAGGAGGCAGCAGUGGGGAAUAUUGGACAAUGGGGGGAACCCUGAUCCAGCCAUGCCGCGUGUGUGAAGAAGGCCUUAUGGUUGUAAAGCACUUUAAGCGAGGAGGAGGCUCUUUUGGUUAAUACCCAAGAUGAGUGGACGUUACUCGCAGAAUAAGCACCGGCUAACUCUGUGCCAGCCGCCGCCGUAA
rnacentral:rRNA from 1 species